rnacentral:rRNA from 1 species
UGCCUCAGACAUGCAAGUCGAACGCGAAAGUCCCCUUCGGGGGAUAAGUAGAGUGGCGCACGGGUGAGUAACACGUAGGUAAUCUACCUUCGGGUGGGGAAUAACCCAGGGAAACUUGGGCUAACACCGCAUAAUGCAGCGGCACCACAUGGUGACAGUUGUUAAAGCGGGGGAUUUUCGGACCUCGCGCCUGAAGAGGAGCCUGCGGCAGAUUAGCUAGUUGGUAGGGUAACGGCUUACUAAGGCGACGAUCUGUAGCCGGCCUGAGAGGGCGGUCGGCCACGCUGACACUGACAUACGGGUCAGACUCCUACGGGAGGCAGCAGUCGGGAAUUUUGGGCAAUGGGCGAAAGCCUGUCCCAGCAACGCCGCGUGAAGGAUGAAGUCCCUCGGGAUGGUUCUUC